UUGGAGGGCAAGUCUGGUGCCAGCAGCCGCGGUAAUUCCAGCUCCAAUAGCGUAUAUUAAAGUUGUUGCAGUCAAAAAGCUCGUAGUUGAAUUUCGGGGUUCUACCGUUGGUCGGGCAAUAGUCUGUACUGGCGUGUGGAAUUUCUACCUUCUGGGGAACCAUCAUGUUAUUAAUUUAGCGUGGUGGGAAACCAGGACCUUUACCUUGAAAAAAUUAGAGUGUUCAAAGCAGGCUUACGUCUGAAUACAUUAGCAUGGAAUAAUAAAAUAGGACGGUGGUCCUGUUUUGUUGGUUUCUGAAUCACCGUAAUGAUUAAUAGGGAUAGUUGGGGGCAUUAGUAUUCAAUUGUCAGAGGUGAAAUUCUUGGAUUUAUUGAAGACUAACUUCUGCGAAAGCAUUUGCCAAGGAUGUCUUCAUUAAUCAAGAACGAAAGUUAGGGGAUCGAAGACGAUCAGAUACCGUCGUAGUCUUAACCAUAAACUAUGCCGACUAGGGAUCGGACGAUGUUAAUUUUUCUUGACUCAUUCGGCGCCUUACGGGAAAC
rnacentral:rRNA from 1 species